rnacentral:tRNA from 1 species
GGUCUUGUAGUGUAAAAAACACCUUGAACUGCAAAUUCAAUAAUGCAGAGGAUAUUGCCUUGGCCU